CGGAAAGCAGAGGGUAGGAUCCCACCGGGGACCUCAUGCGUCAUUUCCGGGUGGGCGCGGAAUUCGAGUCUGAGGCUUUCCUCUUGAGUAGUUGUUGCUGGUGAGAUGCCGGCUGUGGCUGGGAUCAUCGCUGAGCCGGCAUAUCUUGCGUCCGGCAUUUCCUAAGUCGCUAGGCCUGGCAAGCCCUGUCGCUCCUCCACGGAGGACAGCAGGAGAGCGUCCUGAGGAGAAGCUAGAACCCUGUCCUCAGCCCCGUGCGGUCGGUCCUCUGAAGAGCGGGAAGCCGUGGCUCCUCCACCCUGUUGUGGCUUCGGGUGUCGCUUUUCCCAAAUUGGUGGCGUUCCGAUAAAAUAAUAAGGAACCGCCGAUGCUAGGCGCAAGAAGCUGCGUGAGAAACGAAAAGGAUCAGGUGCUCCCCCUACCAGGACAAGCUGAAACCAUUUGAUAUUUUUGGCCAAUCACCUCCAAUUAUUCCUGUCAAGGUAAGGCCACAGAUUAUUGAACUGUCUAAUCGUUCCUUCCUCAAGUCCUUACAGGCACCACAGCAGACAGCUAGAGACAUCCAGAGUCAUCUAUCACACCAACUGCCUGCAUCACCCUUGACUGAACCAGCAUCCAGGUUCCAACCUGGGGACUUAGUGUGGGUCCUCCGCUUACCCAGCAAGACUCUUGAACCUACAUGGAAGGAACUGACCAUAUCCUAUGAUACUGACAACGCCAAGGGCCGUCAAGGUAGUGGGGACUGCAGUUUGGAUCCACCAUUCCUGUCUAAGGGUGGACACAGCCAGCCAGGAGAAAGGUGACAAAUGGAGGGGAAUGCAAAACCCCCAGUGCCCUCUAAAGGUGCGGCUCACCUGCACCCUGAACUCAGACUGACACUAAUAUUGGGAAUGUUGGUAGGUAACUCCCACAUAUGACCGACUGAAAGUGUUGAAGUCUGGGACUGAGAACUGUCUUGAACUGCAGAUAGGAAAAUAAUAGGCAUUUUCCAGAAUGCCACCUCCCAACCUGUGUUUGGAUUUGACCUAUGCAAUUUCUUUAAUAACAAUGAAUUUAUGGCUGAAUGGGAAAGUUAUGGGUGUGGAACAAAAAUGAAGAAAAUAUCCUUUUGGUCUUUACCAUUUUAUGCAUGCCCAGCCAAUGGGCCUACUCAUUGUCAUAAGUGGAAAAGAGAUUAUCAUUGUUCCACCCAGGCUGCAAGACUGAGUCUGACCAGAGCAGACAUAAAGACCCAUUCAUCUCCAUUCAACAGGUAUAUCCUUAUCAGGAUUGCAAACCUAGGACCUGCAACCCUUUCACUUUAAAGAUCAUAGCCUGGAAUGAAUUGAGUUCCAAAUACUGGCUUGCAGGCCGGACCUGGGGAUUUGUGCUUAAAUUUAAGAAUUAUGGGAACAGUCCCGUGUAGAAUUCACUAUACGGAAAAGGGUACCAUCCCACCUAAGCAAUCCUGUAGGUCCUGGAAGGAACUGGCUGCCUCAACCAGGGAUUAGGGUGUCUCCUUUCUCUGUUCUCCAUUCUCAGGCCACUCCACCCAUGGCAGUAAAUUGAUCUAUAUUCAAAAUCAAGGGGCUACAGUGACAAAACUCAGCCUCAACCCCACUGCAGAAUGGACUUAAAAGUUUUAUUCCUGGCUGGGCGGUGGUGGCGCACGCCUUUAAUCCCAGCACUUGGGAGGCAGAGGCAGGCGGAUCUCUGUGAGUUCGAGGCCAGGCUGGACCGAUAGCCUCCGAAACAAUACAGAGAAACCCUGUCUCGUAAAAACCAAAAAAAAAAAAAAAAGUUUUAUUCCUGGAUGAUGCACCUGGGCUCAAGACCUUGAAGUUCCUGCAUAACUGGAUAAAUUAUAUACACCCCAGCCUGGGAAGAGAUUGUUGGCAUUGUCUAAGUGCCAGGCCUCCCUUUUAUGUGGGGUAGGGGUAAAUCUCUAUUAUGUCAACUACUACCCUACCAGAAAAUUUAAAUUGUAAACUGGAAGAAAAUAAACUCACCCUGGGAGAUUUCCUAGGAAUAGGUACUUGGUUAAUCUCUUCCACUUAUAGACAAGCCUGUAAUACUCACUUGUACACACCAUCUAGUCUGAACUUAUUAGAAUGCACUUCCCAUGCCCUUUAAGAACAUGGUUAUUUCCAAGUAGACAUAUAUAUACCAGAAAGGAGGGUAGAAAACUUUUGCCUGCAUAUAAAGGACAUUCCUGUUAGAAAAAAAGAGAAUAGCAAUUGCAACUAUGAAGCAAUAAUCACAGGGAGCAUCAGCCCUAGUUAUUGAAGAUCAGAGUUUUAAAACACGAAAUAAUAAAGUAGACCAAAACAUACAGCAUCUAAGGGCUCUAUUGGACAGCUUGAAAAACAAGUAGUUUCCCUAGCAGAAAUGGUUUUACAAAACCAUUGAGGGCUGGAUUUGUUAACUCUUGAGGAAGUACGUUUUUGUGUAAUCUUAAAUGAAAAAUAUUUCUAUGCCUAUAACUCAGGAGCUAUAUGGGAAACAUUAGAUAUAGUUCAGAAAAACUUAGAUACAAAGGCAAAGGAAUGAACUGAGGCUUCUAAUUGGUACAGUCUCUGUUUCUCUUGAUCCCCAUGACUUAACCAUCCUUUUAAUGGCCAUAGCUGGGCCCAUUCUUUUAUUACUUCUUGGCAUCACAAUUGGCCCUUGCAUUUUAAGUCAGUUACUAACAUUAAAAGUAGAAUCAGGUCUGUUGUUACCUAUAAGCCCUACAGGCUCAAUAUCAACCUGUACAUCAGCAUGAAUUGAUUUGACUCAUGUGAUCUAGAGCCAGUAGGAAAUGUGAUGACUAAGCAAACUCCAUUUUGUACUAGGUACCCAUUUUAGUAGGCUUUUUCUUCUGAGUUAAAUUCCUGAAAGAUAAGUUCCCUGGCAUCUUGCUCCCUUUCCAAAAUGGUGUAAUUGUUGUGAAAUGAUUAGCUGCUUGCUCUGGAUUUUGUAAUUCACUUACUGAAGUAUGCUAGGGGAGUGAGGCAGUUUCUCACAGAGCUGCAAAUUCACAGAAAAAUUGUUGUUUUGCCUUUAAGAACCCUUCCCUCAACCUCUUUUGGCUUUAUUUGGCUUUAAGGCUGUCACUCUGCUAGCAUUUUUAAAAUUUUUUUUGGUUUUUCGAGACAGGGUUUCUCUGUAUUGUUUUGGAGACUGUCCUGGAACUCGCUCUGUAGACCAGGCUGGCCUCGAACUCACAGAGAUCUGCCUGCCUCUGCCUCCGCCUCCCGAGUGCUGGGAUUAAAAGCAAGAGCCACCAACGCCCGGCUCUGCUAGCAAUUUUAAUAAAUUCAUGUAACUAUAA